UUAAGCUACAAAGAGCGUAGGGUGAAUAGCUAGGCACCAAGAGCCGAAGAAGGACGUGAUAAGCUGCGAAAAGCUUUGGGUAGGAGCAAAUAUCCAUUAAUCCAGAGAUAUCCGAAUGAGGGAACUCACUUAGAGCAAACAAUCUAAGUAUCCAUAUAUGAGUAAAGUAGUAUAUGAGAAGGGAACGUGGGGAACUGAAACAUCUUAGUACCCACAGGAAAAGAAAGAGAAAUCGAUUCCUAGAGUAGUGGCGAGCGAAAUAGGAAGAGCCUAAACCAUGAGUAGUAAUACACAUGGGGUUCGGACCACGAUAUAUUAUCAACAAUUCUAAUAGAAAUGUUUUGGAAAAGCAUACCAUAGACGGUGAAAGUCCAGUAUAUGAAAGGAAAGUUGAGAUUAGUGGUAUCCAGAGUAGUACGAGACACGAGAAAUCUCGUAUGAAUAAGCGGGGACCAUCCCGUAAGGCUAAAUACUACUUGGUGACCGAUAGUGAACUAGUACCGUGAGGGAAAGGUGAAAAGAACCCCGGGAGGGGAGUGAAAUAGAACAUGAAACCCUAUGUUUACAAGCAGACAAAGCACUUUAUAUGUGCGAUGUCGUACUUUUUGUAGAACGGUCCAGCGAGUUAUUGUGUAUGGCGAGGUUAAGUAUUACGUAAGGUACGGAGCCGAAGCGAAAGCGAGUCUGAAAAGGGCGAUAUAAGUCAUGCAUAAUAGACCCGAAACUGAGUGACCUAUCCAUGAGCAGGAUGAAGCUAGAGUAAAAUCUAGUGGAGGUCCGAACUGAUUGUCGUUAAAAAGGCACCGGAUGACUUGUGGAUAGCGGAGAAAUUCCAAUCGAACUCAGAGAUAGCUGGUUCUCCUCGAAAUAGCUUUAGGGCUAGCCUUGAGGGAAUGCAUAUGGGGGUAGAGCACUGAAUGAGGUAGGGGCCUAACCAGGUUACCAAACUCUAUCAAACUCCGAAUACCAUAUGUAAAUACUCAGGAGUCAGACUGCGGGAGCUAAGUUCCGUGGUCAAAAGGAAAACAGUCCAGAUCGUCAAUUAAGGUCCCAAAGAUAUAGCUAAGUGGAAAACGAUGUGAUUUUGCAUAAACAACCAGGAUGUUGGCUCAGAAGCAGCCAUUCAUUCAAAGAGUGCGUAAUAGCUCACUGGUCGAGUGAAGUUGCGCGGAAAAUUACCGGGGCUAAGCUAUACACCGAAAUUGCGGAUUUACAUUUGAAAGACAAUGUAAGUGGUAGAGGAGCAUUCUGUAGUAGGAAGAAGCAUGACCGUAAGGACAUGUGGACGAAGCAGAAGAGAGAAUGCUGGAAUAAGUAGCGAGAGGAUGGUGAGAAUCCAUCCCGUCGAAAAUCUAAGGUUUCCCAGGGAAGGUUCGUCCGCCUGGGGUAAGUCGGGACCUAAGGAGAGGCCGAAAGGCGUAUCUGAUGGAUAGCAGGUUGAAAUUCCUGCACUACGAAUAUACUUAAAAGAUUCAAGGGACGCAGAAGUGGAAGAUAACCAAGUAAGAGGAAAAGCUUGGCUCGCAAGAGGGAGUGAAAAUUAAAAGUAACGAAGUAUCAAGAAGCACGCUGACGAGAAAAGCUUGAAGAUAUUGUAUAUAAGUACCCGUACCGCAAACCGACACAGGUAGAUGAGGAGAGGAUCCUAAGACGAGCGGGAGAAGCAUUGUUAAGGAACUCGGCAAAUUAACCCCGUAACUUCGGAAUAAGGGGUGCUGAUGUAACAGUCAGUCGCAGAGAAAAGGCCCAAGCAACUGUUUAACAAAAACAUAGGUUUCUGCUAAAUCGAAAGAUGAAGUAUAGGAGCUGACGCCUGCCCAGUGCUGGAAGGUUAAGGGAAAGAGUUAGGGUUAAACCGAAGCUUAGAACUGAAGCCCCAGUGAACGGCGGCCGUAACUAUAACGGUCCUAAGGUAGCGAAAUUCCUUGUCAGGUAAGUUCUGACCCGCACGAAAGGCGUAAUGAUCUGGGUACUGUCCCAGACGGAUUCCCACCUGCUGGUCUUCAAAUUUCGGCCACAAAAUACCAGGAGUGUCCAAAAGUUCUACUCCCUUAUUCAGACGGAUCCACUGUUUUCCUUUCGUAACUCCCGGCUUGUUUCCGGUCUUUGCACAGGCCCGUCCUGCAAAGGUAUUGAUAAAUGUAGAUUUUCCUACAUUCGGGAUUCCCACUACCAUAGCGCGGAUCGGACGGUUUUUAAUACCGCGGCGUCUGUCUCUUUCUAUCUUUUCCUUACAUGCUUCCUGGAUCACAUUAUUGAUUGCUUUCAUUCCGGAACCAUUUCUGGAAUCUACUUUUACAACAUAAAAUCCCUUUGCCUGAAAAUAAGUUUUCCAGGCUUCAUUCUGGCGCUCGUCAGCCAGAUCUGAUUUAUUAAGAAGAAUCAGUCUGGAUUUAUUUUUUCCCAGUUCAUCGAUAUCCGGGUUUCUGCUUGAAAGAGGUACGCGGGCAUCCACAAGUUCAAUGAUCAGAUCGAUCAGCUUAAUGUCCUCCUGCAUCUGUCUCUUUGCCUUGGUCAUAUGACCAGGGUACCACUGUACGUUCAUAUACACCUAACCUUUCAAAAAUCCAAAUUUAUCUUUCGGGGAAAUGACAAACCAUACCUUUCCCACAAUAUAUUUCUUAUUGAUAUUUCCGAUAUCACCAUACCGGCUGUCCUCACUGUUAUUUCGGUUAUCCCCAAGUACAAAAUAUUCAUUUUUUCCAAGUGUAAUCUGCUGUUCGGCAAGCCCCGGAUUUAUAAUAUUUGGAAAAUUUUUUUCUUUAUAGAGUUUCCCAUUGAUAUAGACUUUUCCAUCUUUAAUCUGAAUUUUUUCUCCGGGGAGUCCAAUAA
rnacentral:rRNA from 1 species